rnacentral:rRNA from 1 species
UACGGAGGAUCCAAGCGUUAUCCGGAAUCAUUGGGUUUAAAGGGUCCGUAGGCGGUUUUAUAAGUCAGUGGUGAAAUCCGGCAGCUCAACUGUCGAACUGCCAUUGAUACUGUAGAACUUGAAUUACUGUGAAGUAACUAGAAUAUGUAGUGUAGCGGUGAAAUGCUUAGAUAUUACAUGGAAUACCAAUUGCGAAGGCAGGUUACUAACAUUAUAUUGACGCUGAUGGACGAAAGCGUGGGGAGCGAACAGG